rnacentral:rRNA from 1 species
UUGCACGCUGGCGGCAUGCUUUACACAUGCAAGUCGCACGGUAACAGGCCUUCGGGUGCUGACGAGUGGCGAACGGGUGAGUAAUGCAUCGGAACGUGCCCAGAGGUGGGGGAUAACGCAGCGAAAGCUGUGCUAAUACCGCAUGUGAUCUGAGGAUGAAAGCGGGGGACCAGGCAGCAAUGUUUGGCCUCGCGCCUUUGGAGCGGCCGAUGUCAGAUUAGGUAGUUGGUGGGGUAAAGGCCUACCAAGCCGACGAUCUGUAGCUGGUCUGAGAGGACGACCAGCCACACUGGGACUGAGACACGGCCCAGACUCCUACGGGAGGCAGCAGUGGGGAAUGUUGGACAAUGGGCGCAAGCCUGAUCCAGCAAUGCCGCGUGCGGGAAGAAGGCCUUCGGGUUGUAAACCGCUUUUGUACGGAACGAAAAGGCUCUGGCUAAUACCUGGGGCUGAUGACGGUACCGUAAGAAUAAGCACCGGCUAACUACGUG